rnacentral:misc_RNA from 1 species
GAUGAAGAACGUAGCGAAAUGCGAUAAGUAGUGUGAAUUGCAGAAUUCAGUGAAUCAUCGAAUCUUUGAACGCACAUUGCGCCCCUUGGUAUCCCGAGGGGCAUGCCUGUUCGAGCGUCAUUUCACCACUCAAGCCUGGCUUGGUGUUGGGCGACGUCCCCUUUGGGGACGCGCCUCGAAACGCUCGGCGGCGUGGCACCGGCUUUAAGCGUAGCAGAAUCUUUCUCUUUGGAAGUCGGGGCCCCGUCUGCCGGAAGACCUACUCGCAAGGUUGACCUCGGAUCAGGCAGGGAUACCCGCUGAACUUAAGCAUAUCAAUAAGCGGAGGA